AAAUUUGUUGAAUGCAUUGUGAAUAAGAAUGUUUUGUUAAAAUAAAUAUACACGGAUGGAAAUAGUAUAAAAUAUCGGAAUUUGUAUAUCGAAUUAUAGUUGAUCGUGGUCUUUUUCACUGUUGCGAUAUGAGACAGAAGAAAAUCUAAAUAAAAAAUGACAAAUUACAAAUACGUAAUUAUUGCUUUGGCAACAAUUUUAAUGUUCAUUAUUCAUACUAUCAAUGCUGGAUGUAAAGGAAAUGGACUUCCAUGCCAACCUAAAAGAAGGGCAGAAUGUUGUACAGGAUAUUGUUUAAAACAAAUAGGAUGGAAAAUAGGUCACUGCGCCAAACGCUCUUAAUAAAAAAAAAAUUGUACAAUGUAAAUAGAAAAAUAAAUUAAAAAUAAUACUUUUUUUACAUACUUAA